CGGGGGGGGCAAGCGUUGUUCGGAAUUACUGGGCGUAAAGGGCUCGUAGGUGGCCAACUAAGUCAGACGUGAAAUCCCUAGGCUUAACCUGGGAACUGCGUCUGAUACUGGAUGGCUUGAAUUCGGGAGAGGGAUGCAGAAUUCCAGGUGUAGCGGUGAAAUGCGUAGAUAUCUGGAGGAAUACCGGUGGCGAAGGCGGCAUCCUGGACCGAGAUUGACACUGAUGAGCGAAAGCCAGGGGAGCAAACGGGAUUAGAUACCCCGGUAGUCCUGGCCCUAAACGAUGAAUGCUUGGUGUGACGGGUAUCGAUCCCUGUCGUGCCGAAGCUAACGCAUUAAGCAUUCCGCUGGGGAUACGGUUGCAAGGCUG
rnacentral:rRNA from 1 species